CACUCCUGCGGGAGGCAGCAGUGGGGAAUAUUGGACAAUGGGCGCAAGCCUGAUCCAGCCAAGCCGCGUGAGUGAUGAAGGCCCUAGGGUUGUAAAGCUCUUUCACCGGUGAAGAUAAUGACGGUAACCGGAGAAGAAGCCCCGGCUAACUUCGUGCCAGCAGCCGCGGUAAUACGAAGGGGGCUAGCGUUGUUCGGAUUUACUGGGCGUAAAGCGCACGUAGGCGGACUAUUAAGUCAGGGGUGAAAUCCCGGGGCUCAACCCCGGAACUGCCUUUGAUACUGGUAGUCUUGAGUUCGAGAGAGGUGAGUGGAAUUCCGAGUGUAGAGGUGAAAUUCGUAGAUAUUCGGAGGAACACCAGUGGCGAAGGCGGCUCACUGGCUCCAUACUGACGCUGAGGUGCGAAAGCGUGGGGAGCAAACAGGAUUAGAUACCCUUGUAGUCCC
rnacentral:rRNA from 1 species